CUUCCCGGCUAGGCUUAGAAUCCCAAACAACAGAUGUCCACAAAAUAUAGACUAACAGACCAAAUGCUGAUCAAGAAAGUGAUACAUGAUUGAUGGAAAGACACCAACAGGCACAGUUAAAGGAUACAAAAAUAGGUUAUGAACUCAUCCAUGACAACUGACAGAGAUAGCUACAUUGACAGAGGACUAUACGGCAUGCUCCCAGACAGAAGGGGGAAGCUCUGCAAAUCUCCCGUGUAGUUGGCAAUCCCUUCUAUCUUGGACAUCAUACAAAAACAAGGACAGAGCAACCAAUCUCCAUGCAUCUCAACUGACUGUACA